rnacentral:rRNA from 1 species
AGUGAACGCUGGCGGUAGGCCUAACACAUGCAAGUCGAACGGCAGCACAGUAAGAGCUUGCUCUUACGGGUGGCGAGUGGCGGACGGGUGAGGAAUACAUCGGAAUCUACUUUUUCGUGGGGGAUAACGUGGGGAAACUUACGCUAAUACCGCAUACGACCUACGGGUGAAAGCAGGGGAUCUUCGGACCUUGCGCGAUUGAAUGAGCCGAUGUCGGAUUAGCUAGUUGGCGGGGUAAAGGCCCGCCAAGGCGACGAUCCGUAGCUGGUCUGAGAGGAUGAUCAGCCACACUGGAGCUGAGACACGGUCCAGACUCCUACGGGAGGCAGCAGUGGGGAAUAUUGGACAAUGGGCGCAAGCCUGAUCCAGCCAUACCGCGUGGGUGAAGAAGGCCUUCGGGUUGUAAAGCCCUUUUGUUGGGAAAGAAAAGCAGCAGGUUAAUACCCCGCUGUUCUGACGGUACCCAAAGAAUAAGCACCGGCUAACUUCGUG